rnacentral:rRNA from 1 species
UACGUAGGGUGCGAGCGUUAAUCGGAAUUACUGGGCGUAAAGCGUGCGCAGGCGGUUUUGUAAGACAGAGGUGAAAUCCCCGGGCUCAACCUGGGAACUGCCUUUGUGACUGCAAGGCUUGAGUGCGGCAGAGGGGGAUGGAAUUCCGCGUGUAGCAGUGAAAUGCGUAGAUAUGCGGAGGAACACCGAUGGCGAAGGCAAUCCCCUGGGCCUGCACUGACGCUGAGGCGCGAAAGCCAGGGGAGCAAACGGG